rnacentral:rRNA from 1 species
AUACGGAGGGUGCAAGCGUUAAUCGGAAUUACUGGGCGUAAAGCGCACGUAGGUGGUUUGGUAAGUUGGAUGUGAAAUCCCCGGGCUCAACCUGGGAAUGGCAUCCAAGACUGCCAAGCUAGAGUCUGGUAGAGGGUGGUGGAAUUCCAGGUGUAGCGGUGAAAUGCGUAGAGAUGUGGAGGAACACCAGUGGCGAAGGCGACUCUCUGGUCUGUAACUGACGCUGAGGCGCGAAAGCGUGGGGAGC